rnacentral:miRNA from 1 species
GCCGAGGAGCAGGACGUG